rnacentral:rRNA from 1 species
AGGACGAACGCUGGCGGCGUGCUUAACACAUGCAAGUCGAGCGGAAAGGCCCUUCGGGGUACUCGAGCGGCGAACGGGUGAGUAACACGUGAGUAACCUGCCCCUAGCUCUGGGAUAGCUCCGGGAAACCGGGAUUAAAUACCAGAUACGACCACUUUAGACAUCUGUCGUGGUGGAAAGGAUUCCGGCUUAGGGGAUGGGGCUCGCGGCCUAGUCAGCUUGUUGGUGGGUAACGCCUACCGAAGGCGACGACGGGUA